ACGCAGAGUUCGUUACACUUCAGAUCUACAACAAGAAGCAUUAGUGUCCGGUGGAGAAGGUUUACCUGAUGACCUGCAAGCAGUCAUGCAACCACGUUCACAGCCACGCAUGAAAUAAGUUUGAGGUGACUCCUGACGCCUAUCACAACGACUUCGGAUCGAGCCCCUAUAUGUAUCCCGGAUCUUAGCAGACGUAUCUGUUCCACCGUUAUUAUGGAUGGAUUUUCCAAGUAUGUACAUCAUUUCCUUGAGGAAUGGCACAAGUGGAUCAUUGACAUCCAUUCUUGAACAACUGACGGGAGGAAUAAAGUGCAUCACCAUAUCGUAUCUGUUCCACCGUUAUCAUGGAUGGAACAUUUUCCAGUAUUACCUUGAGGAAUGGCACACGUGGAUCAUUGAUAUGCAUUGUUGAAUAACUGACGGGAGGAGUAAAGUGCAUCACCAUAUCGUAUCUAUUCCACCGUUAUCAUGGAUGGAACAUUUUCCAAGUAUGUACGUCAUUACCUUGAGGAAUGGCACACGUGGAUCAUUGACAUGCAUUCUUGAACAACUGACGAGAGGAAUAAAGUGCAUCACCAUAUCGUAUCUGUUCCACCGUUCUUAUGGAUGGAUUUUCCAAGUAUGUACGUCAUUACCUUGAGGAAUGGCACAAGUGGAUCAUUGACAAGCAUUCUUGAACAACUGGUAUAUCACGAUCCUGACUGGUCACGCAAGUAUUAAGCCAUUUGGGUCGAAGGAAAUGCUAGCAAGUCUUGGUCUUCGCCUGGAAGUAGGAUUGCUAGCAGAUACACAUCACUGAAAAAGGAUAAAGAAACCUCUUCAAAACAUGGAGCUGUAGCUCGUCGUACGGUUAAAAAAAGUAAAAGGAACAGCUGGAAUAACUACUUCAACAAUCAACGAGAUGACGCCUUCGGCCACGGUGUGGAACAAAGUCAGAGCCUCAUCCGGAAAUCGUCCUCUCCUCCAUUGGCCUACAAUAAAAGAUUUGGCAGAAACAUGUGCCUUAAACUCAAGUGACCUUAUCGUUCAUCGGAAUAACCCUAACACCGAAACUGGUCCAAGUACGAAGCACCACGAGACAAUACCUCAGCAUGAUAUUAUCAAUGAUUCGUUCACCUUUGGGAAACCUAAAUGCCGCAACACCAGUCCAGGUUCGGACGGCAUUCCGAAUUCAUUGAUCAAGAAUCCAUCCUCUUAGCUGGAAUAUUUACAGAGAACAUUCAACCAUGGUUGGAAUCCACACGCAUUCCCCGAUCAUCGGAAGGAGGCCAUCGUAAUCCCGAUCCACAAGGCGAAUAAUGAUCGAGCACAAACUUCAAUCUAUCGACCAGUCUCACUUACGUGUAACCUGGGUAAGGCGCUUCGGGGGCGGCUAGGAAAGGAAGAUCUGGACCACUGAAGUCCCCAACGUCAUCAUGUCACUGUUGUUCAUAGCCUUUGUUGCGAAUUUCCUCAACCGCCGACGUAUUAGAGUGAAAAACAAUGGAAGCUUGUCCGCAAUAGUCUCUAUUAAUGGGCUACUCCAGGGAUCUGUUUUCAGUGUCUCACUGUCAACCAUGCUCUCAGAAUUUUCAAAUCAUCUCUACGAGGACGACUUUUUGUUGACAAUCUCAAGAUUUCAUGGUAAUGGGAAAUAUCGAGCACACCUUCCAUAUUGUCCAGCCGAAUAGAUUAUCGUCAGGAACCAAAAAACCCAGAGUAAGAAUCUCCAGCUAUAUUUAAAUAGACAUCGACUCGAUUAAAAUCCACGGACUUACUUUUGACCAGAAGUUCACAAUGGAAAAUACAUAUCGAAGUACUGAAAAAGAAGUGCACCACUCUUCAGUCGGUUGGGAAUUCCGCGCGCCACAUCUGCCUAGGAGCAUGCAAAACGACCCCAGUUAAAAGCUUACUAGUAGAUGCAGAAGCUCUCCCCCUAGGUAUCAAGAAAAAGAAACUGUGAUAGGAAACGAAUUUGGGGACCAAAUUACAAAAGUUGCGACGACGAUAGAUGAUCCGCUGGAUGUACCUGUUCCACUACACGAAGGCAAAAGAUUAUCCACAAUGAGACCGUGAGUUCUUGGAAACGCGUAUGGCUACGAACAUCCGCGGGUGGUUAGUAUCAAGUAUCAAGUAUCAAGUAUCAAGUAUCAAGUAUCAAGUAUCAAGUAUCAAGUAUCAAGUAUCAAGUAUCAAG